rnacentral:rRNA from 1 species
UACGAAGGGGGCUAGCGUUGCUCGGAAUCACUGGGCGUAAAGCGCACGUAGGCGGCUUUCUAAGUCAGGGGUGAAAUCCUGGAGCUCAACUCCAGAACUGCCUUUGAUACUGGAAAGCUUGAGUUCGGGAGAGGUGAGUGGAACUGCGAGUGUAGAGGUGAAAUUCGUAGGUAUUCGCAAGAACACCAGUGGCGAAGGCGGCUCACUGGCCCGGUACUGACGCUGAGGUGCGAAAGCGUGGGGAGCAAACAGG